CUACUAGUACAGUCAUUAUAUCCAAAAAACCGACCCUACCCGUGAAUAAUUAGUUCUUGGAUUUUUUUUUCGUAGGUCCCUCGGGGGGGUCACUGGGAGUGUAAAUUCAAAAAGUAGGCUUUAUCAGGCUCCUGCGUAUAUUCGAAAAAUGAUUUUUUUCCAAAAAAACGGGUUUUCUUCAAUAACUCGGCUAUUUUUGAUUUUACAGUAAAACCGUAAGGACAAAAAUUGUAGGAAAUUUGAUUCUCUACAAGUUAGUCCAGUCAUUAUAUCCAAAAAAACCGACCCUUCCCGUGAAUAAUCAGUUCUUGGAUUUUUUUUUCGUACGUCUCUAGGGGGAAUCACUGGGAGUGUAAAUUCAAAAAGUAGACUGAAUCAGAGUCCUGUGUAUAUUCGAAAAACGGUUUUUCUUGAAUAACUCGGUCAUUUUUGAUUUUACAGUAAAACCUUCGAACAAAAAUUGUUCAGAAUUUGAUUCUCUACAACUUUGUUUCCCUUCAUUUAUGCCUUAAAGCGUAGAACAUAGGAGAUAAUGAUAAUAUUUUGAAUUUGUCGCGUUUUUCAGGUUUAAUUUCUAAAAUAUCGAUUUUGGGGGAAAGAAGGUGGGAACCAAAAUUGUUCAGAAUUUGAUUCUCUACAAGUUUAGUCCUCUUCAUUUAUGUCGUAAAGUUGAAAAUAAACGAGAUGUUGAAAAUAUUUUGAAUUUGUCGCUUUUUUCAAAUUUUAUUUCCAAACUAUCGAUCCUAGAAGAAAAAUUGUGAGGAACAAACUUGUAGAGAAUCAAAUUUUCUAAAAUUUUUGUCCUCACGGUUUUACUGUAAAAUCAAAAAUGACCGAGUUAUUAAAAAAAAACCGUUUUUCGAAUAUACACAGGACCCUGAUUCAGUCUACUUUUUGAAUUUACACUCCCAGUGAUUCCCCCGAGGGACGUACGAAAAAAAAAUCCAAGAACUGAUUAUUCACGGGAAGGGUCGGUUUUUUGGAUAUAAUGACUGGACUAACUUGUAGAGAAUCAAAUUUCCUACAAUUUUUGUCCUUACGGUUUUACUGUAAAAUCAAAAAUGGCCGAGU